ensembl:lncRNA
GAGGAGUCCAGGAUCAUACGCAGGUUCCCAGCUGGGUGGACCGUGGAGACUUCCCUGAGAUGGGGGCACACGGAUGAGUCCAGUCAUGCACAGUGGGAGUUGUAGCUGCCUGAGGCAUCCACGAGGAGAUACCCAGUGGGCAGUCAUUAUAUGGGUCUGGAAGUUGACAAGGAGGACCAGGCUGGAGGUGGGGAUGUGGGGCACCAGCAUGGAGAUAACUGAAGCUGUCGGUGUGGAUAAAGGGCCAGGAAGAGAGUAUGUAGAGUGGGGAGAGAAGCAUCUCGGCUGGAGACCCGAGCAGCAGCCCCUGCAGAGGGGUGGGCAAAGGACGAAGAGGCGCCUGUGAAGGAGAUCCAUGGUCAACAGUGUGGCUUGCACAGCAGUCAGCACCGCCCUCACCUCCAGCUGACUACGGAUUUUUAUAUACGUUAUCCUGUGACGUUAGUGGACAGCAACCUCUCUGGACUGUUACUUCCUGUAUUUGGAAAUCUCACUUCACAGUUUGACACGAGGUUGGGUCUUCUGGAGCGUGCCUCUGUCUGUAGUUGGACAAACUCUUAUCACGCCUACAGGUCUUGGUUCCUGCUUCUUAUCAGCCUAGUCCUCCACUUUCUGUUUUUAUCGUCCUACUUCUGGCCUCCCCAGCAAGAAUGUCUCAUUGUACCUGUCCUUUGGGAGUCAUUCCUACAACAAAUGCUGGAUUGUUCUCACCCCCUGGCUUCCUGGUUUGCUAUCAGUUAGAGUUGCUAAUACUAACGGUGUAUGUUCAGCUCAGUGCUGACAAAAAAACCAAACCAAACCAAACCACAAAAAACCACAUUAGUUGUCCUAGAAGUUUUCAGUCUUGGUGAAACAGACAAAACAAUCUGGACAGGAAUGCUGCUUUGGAAGAUAACAGAGUCAUCACACGGUCUGAGCCGCUUGCUGCCUCCUCUUGCCAUGCCGGUCGCCCUUCUCUGUGCUGCUUCUCCUAGGAAGCCUCCAGUCACACUCCUGACUGGAGGAGGAGGCGGAGGAGCCAACACUGUCAGGUCCUGCGUUUAAUCCUCAAAAUCAACCUGUGAGGUAGGUUAUGACAAAUCAAAAAACAGAUGGGUUGGUAACUUGCCCAAGUAAGUUAGCAAGAAAGUGGCCCUGAAACACAGAUGUAUCAUGUUCAGAACAGCUGCCCCAGGGCCGCCCCUCUUAGAAACUCUAUUGCUCUACCUUCAGCUUUCCAUGUCAGUCUUUUUCACCAGGUUCUGAGUUCUUCUGGGGCAAGGACUGUGUCUUCACGUACACAUUAGGCACUCAACAAGUGUCAGUCUCUUUAUUUCUCUCCUUUCCCUUCCCCACUCAUCACUAAACACAGGCUUGACUAUGCUGUCUAAUGAUGUGCCAAGCAUUCUGCAUAAUUCAAGGAUAUGUCAGAGUUUAUGCCACUUGAUUUAGUCAAGGAAAUAUCGACACACAUAAUAUAAAUAAUACAAAACAAUAAGUAUAUUAAGUGCUCAGUUGGGUGGGAGAGGAAAGGAGAUUAAUGAGGGCAGAAAUAGACACGGUAGGAAUAGACUUCAUACGAUGUGGGAUCCUGAGCCAUGGAGGAUGGGCAGGAUUUGGAUGUUAAUCUGUGCAUUCAGACCGCAAGCGGUUAUUAAGUUCCUAUCCCAUGGCAGGCCUGGUUCUGGGCAUGGGGAGUGAGGAAUCAGGGUAAAUAAGUAAAUGAUAGACUAGGGAAGGGCAUUUGGAACUGAACUUGGUGCUUUCUGGGAGAAGUAAGAAACCAAAGCUCAGAGCUGUUACAUAAAGAACACUGCAUCCUAUUGAGACGUUAAGGCAAUGGGAGGACCUAAUCUUUCUUCUUCUCCCAAAGAAUAUUUUUUAGGAGAAGUGAGUGAGGGAUCGCUGCCAAUUGCCAACCAUCAAUUAGUAUCUCUUUUAGAUUUACCCUCAGCAAUGCUCCAGUCUUCCCAGGAAGAAAAUUGGGUUUUAAAAGUGUCAGAAGGACACAGCUUUUCCUGGAGAUUUUCCAGCUUUGAGUUAAUUAAUCUCACUUCUGAAGCUGUGAGAUCUUAACAUAUCACACAGGUCCAGAGGGAUUGGGAAAGAAAACACUUGGACUCGAAAGGAUAACACUCAUUUAGAAGACGUACACAUGAUCCGCAGGCAGGGCUCAGUCUGUGCUCUAAUGAAGAAUUAGACACUGUGCAAACUCUAGGUUAUAAGGAAAGUUAGGACCUGUGGCAACUGUUUUAAUUUUUUCAGGAGAACUGAAUGUUAAAGUUAGAAGGAUCACAGAGAACAUCCAGUUCUAGUCCAGAUUCCUUAUGGUAAAGAAAUUGGAACCCAGACAGAUCCAGCUCCUCACCCUGGAUCUCAUAGUUGGUGGUACAGCUCAAAUUGGGGUCUUGGCUCCAAGAACAGUGUUCCAAAUACAUCAAGGUUUAAAAUGUUUAAUAGUUAAAGUGGGUGAAAUGUCUGCAUAUACAAAGAAUAUUUCUAGAAGGACACACAGAGCAUGGG